UAAGCAGAUAGUGAAAGCAUGUGGCUCAACCAUUAUGUCUAUUAUCUGAACUGAAUUACUCGAGUAUGGUAGAGGUAGCUGGAAUUUCUAGUGUAGGAGUGAAAUCCGUAGAUAUUAGAAGGAACACCGAUGGCGUAGGCAGGCUACUGGACCAUUACUGACGCUGAGGCACGAAAGCGUGGGGAGCGAACCGGAUUAGAUACCCGGGUAGUCCACGCCGUAAACGAUGGAUGCUA
rnacentral:rRNA from 1 species